UCCACUACACCCAGCAACGGUCGUAUCCGGCGCUGCUCCACGAUCCCCUGUAAUAGCCGUACAAAGCGGAGCUCCACUACGCCCUGUCAUGGCCGUACCCAGCGCUGCCCCACGACGCCCUGUAACGGCCAUGUCAGUGGCAGCUCCAUCGUGCUACACGAUGACCAACCCCCCAAAAGGACCCCCCAGCCUGGUAUAUAUGCGGCUGGGGAGAGAAGGGGGAGGGUAAGCAAGAACUUCCAGAGUAUUCUCUUACUUGCUACUAUUAUCUCUCCUUCUCCUCCAAUCUCCUCUGACUUGAUCGUCGGAGGGCCCCCACUACCCCAGUGGUGGUGCGAGGCUUGCUUGCAGGUUUUCCAGUGGAAGGUGGAGCGCAAUCAACACCAACCAAGGCAACUCAAACGGAACCCCGUUCACACCGCUGUGCCAAUCGUUCUCGGUUUGGACCACCAGCAACAGNNNNNNNNNNNNNNNNNNNNAAAGGGGAGGGUAAGCAAGAACUUCCAGAGCAUUCUCUUACUUGCUACUAUUAUCUCUCCUUCUCCUCCAAUCUCCUCUGACUUGAUCGUCGGAGGGCCCCCACUACCCCAGUAGUGGUGCGAGGCUUGCUUGCAGGUUUCCCGGUGGAAGGUGGAGCGCAAUCAAUACCAACCAAGGCAACUCAAACGGAACCCCGUUCACACCGCUGUGCCAAUCGUUCUCGGUUUGGACCACCAGCAACA
rnacentral:lncRNA from 1 species